AUUAUAUCAUCACAAUUAAACAUUAUAAUGAUUCGACCUUCUCCACCAGAUUUCCCUUCUCCUCUCCUCCAUCAAAUUUCAACCGGCGAUUCUCGACCCACCGGCCGAUGCCACCUCCAUUUUCCCCUCCCUCUGCCGGCGAUUCGACUCACCGGCCGCAGUCGCGAUCUGCCACCUUUCGCCGCCCGCUAGAGAUCUGCUCUUCCACAUUCUCCGAUGCCACCUCCAUUUUCCCCUGCCUCCCCCGGCAAUUUGGCUCACCGGCCGCAUUCCACCGCGAUUCGCCGCAAUGAGAUCUGUCCCUUCCACAGUUCCACCUUCUGAUUCGAGGUCCGGCGAAGGGCGCCUCUUUGCGAUUUCCGGCGCGAAUCGCCGCGCCCCUAGAUCCCCAAAUCCUCACCGCCUCUUUGCGAUUUUUGGCGACCACGGCAGCCAUGGCCGCUGAUCUGCCCCUCCCACCACCAGAAAACCAGAAAUCGAUCGCCCACCUCCCUUCCCCCUAUGGUAAGUAUUAAAUGUUUGACUAUUUUAAAUAUGGAAUGAUUAUUAUUUUAGAUAGAACAAAUUUUGGAAAGAUGUUUAACAAUGGAAACUUAAACCCUAGAUUUUUAUGUUAAUUUAUUUUCGGUUGCUGCAAAUUAUGUAAAUAUAGAAUGGUUGUAAACUUUAGAAAGAAUUUUUUUUGGAAAUUUUUUUAUCAAAGGAAACUUAAACCCUAAAUUUUCAUCUAUAAAUUCAUUAGUUUGAAUAAUUAACAAUGCAGCAAUCGCAAGGUAACCUUCUUCUUCUUUUGUUGUCUUUCUUUUCUUUUGCAUUAACGCGGUAAUACCUUCUUAUUUUUCUUCUUUUUCCAUAUUUUUGGUUCUAGGUGCCUGGUCCAGAACCGCCGCUCGCCAGCCGCUGUGUUGCAGUCGGCCACUCCUAUUCUCACUUCAACUGUAAGUUCUCCGAAUUCUCUCACCCUCAUUUUCAGUUAUGUCAACAGAUUGUUUUCUGGUGUUUCCACUUCAUUAGAAUUGUAUUCAUUUCAUGGUUGUGUUCAAGUGAAAGGUUUCGUUUUGUUGCAAAUGAUUUGUUGCAAAUGAUGCAUCUGUGUGCUCUACAUUUGGAGAGGAAUAUAAUGAGAUAUUGUUUUGUUUUACUGUAAUCCAUGACAUUUUAAACUCAAACAAGUUUGUCCUUGAUUGGCUUGCUGUUCAAUAUUUUGGUGUCAUAAAGUCCCAUGUUAUGAUUCUGCACUUACAUGUAAGGGGGCCUCUUUAAGUUUAAACUCUACAGUGAAAUUGUAAGUUUCUUCUUCUUCUUCUGUUCCUAUAAUCUAAACGUAUUGUAUUCAUUUCAUGGUUGUGUUCAACUACUAGAGUAUCUGGAAACUUUACAAUUCGCGGCGGCGGUAACCUUCUUCUUCUUCUUCUUCUAUAUUUUCCAGAUUUUUGGUUUAGAUUUUGUUAAUUAAUUCUUGUGAUUGCUUUACUUCCCUGUUUUGGUUUAGAUUUUUGGCUGGGAGUAAGCGAUUGUUGUACUUCCCUGUUUUGUUUUCGAAAUGAGCUGUAGUUAGUGAUGUAUUGUGUGAGUUGCUUUGUGAUCAUGUGUCAAAUUUUUCCUUUGCUAUUCUUUGGUUUUUGUUCCUAUCUUGGAGGAUUUGUUAUGGGUUAUUAUGGGUUAGCUUUGCGUAAUACUUAUCUGAUAUAAAGUAACUUAGAUUUUAAGAUGAGGAUGUGAUGCGCUGCAUAUACUUGGAAUGUUAAUAGUGGGUGAUUUUUAUUGGUUAAUUACCAGACUGUAGAAGAGGUAACACUUUUGUUUUAAUGGAAAUAGUCUCUCAAAUAUUUAUAGUUUCAGAUACAUAUGCUGCCUGCCAGUUAGUAUGGCAGUGAAGAUGGUCAUCCAAAUUCAGACAUUUCACUUUGAAUAAAUCCAUCAUUUUUACAGAAACCCUGCAAUCAUGAGAAUAUUCUUCCUGCAAUAAAGAAAAUUCUCCACUCAAUUUAUACAUGUAUCAUGCAUGACAGAACCGUAGAGAUGGAAUAAUCAUAAGCAAUAGAACAAAUAUAGCAGGUUUCAAGUCAUUCUUCCAUAUUCUAAAGAUGCGAAAAAGAAUAUUAUGUGGCCAAAGGAAAAACGUGCAACUUAUUGUAAGCGCCACAAUCAUCAUAUUUUCUCUAGAGAGUUCAUGUGAUGCCAAAUCUGAGCAUUUCUAUGGCUAACAUGUAUUCCUUUUCUUGCAAAAGAGAAUCAUGUUUCCUAGCGGAUGUUGUCUUUACAUUAUAAGCUGUUUUGUUGCUUGACUUUUUAUUCUUUGCACAUCCCUUUCUCUGUCAUUUUUGUCUUGAAAGGAGUAUAUGUCAUGUAUUGACUCCAUGAAAUGAUUUUAGAAAGGGAAGAAUUAUGUUGCUUUGAGGGUGAAGUCUUAAAAUUCAUUCUCUAUGAGAUGAUUUUAGACCUGGAAGAAUCAUGUUGCUUUUAUCAAUAUAUAAUACGAUUAAGGAAUCCUGCGCUCUCCUUAAUCCGGGGUCCUACGUGGCAUAUCUAAGAAUUCACCAUUCAAAAUCCCUGCAAUUCUAGAGCCUCUAGCUCAAUUCUCUAUCGCUGACGUGGCAAUAUAAUU
rnacentral:lncRNA from 1 species